CCCCGGCUCAUCCCGGCCGUGGCCUCGAGCUCCGUCCCCGCGGGGCUCCGGGCGGCCGUGACCCUGCUGGAGUCCGGGGGGGACCUCCAGCCCCCCGGGGGGGUCCCUGCGCCUCCUCUGCCGCGCCUCGGGGUUCGAUUUUGGUGGUUUCACCAUGUACUGGAUCCGCCAGAGACCCGGCUACGGCCUGGAGUGGCUCGCGGGGAUCCAAUUCAACGGUGCCAGUGCUUGGUACGCGCCGUCGGUCGAGGGGCCGGGCGACGAUCUCCAGGGACAACGGGCAGAGCUCGGUGACGCUGGCCAUGAACGGCCUCAAGGACGAGGAUUCCGGCUCCUAUUUCUGCGCCAAAUCUGCGUAUCUUGGAGCUGGUGCAAAUAUUGGCGGUCCUUUUGGCCCCGCCCCCAUCGCUCUGUCCCAAAAUCAUCCCCCAAACCCCAACCCCUGA